UAGGGAAUAUUGGGCAAUGGAGGGAACUCUGACCCAGCCAUGCCGCGUGCAGGAUGAAGGCGUUAUGCGUUGUAAACUGCUUUUUAUAUAGGAAGAAAUAGUCCUUGCGAGGAAAGUUGACGGUACUAUAUGAAUAAGCACCGGCUAACUCCGUGCCAGCAGCCGCGAUAAUACGGAGGGUGCAAGCGUUGUCCGGAUUUAUUGGGUUUAAAGGGUGCGUAGGCGGUUUAUUAAGUCAGUGGUGAAAGACGGUCGCUCAACGAUUGCAGUGCCAUUGAUACUGGUAGACUUGAGUAUGAUUGAGGUAGCUGGAAUGGAUAGUGUAGCGGUGAAAUGCAUAGAUAUUAUCCAGAACACCAAUUGCGUAGGCAAGUUACUAAGUACAUAACUGACGCUGAGGCACGAAAGUGUGGGUAUCAAACAGGAUUAGAUACCCAAGUAGUCCCUGAGCGGGC
rnacentral:rRNA from 1 species